GUCAGCGUGGUGUAGUCGGUUAUCACACCUGUCUCACACACAGGAGGUCCCCAGUUCGAACCUGGGCGCUGACA
rnacentral:tRNA from 1 species